GUAUACUGUUCUAUGGCUAAACCAUUUUUAUCUCUUUUUGUAUAGAAAUGUAAAAACAGAAUGUUUUAACAAGAAAAUAAUCUUGAAGUGCAGAGAACUUGGAAUCAAGAAACUGAAGCAUUGGAAGGCAAUAGAGAAGAAGUGGGAUUUCAAGUUUGCAUCAAUGUGGUAACUUCCUUCACGGAAUCAGGAUCAGCUGGGGCUAUGAGAAUGUUAUCUGGCUUCUUCUCCAUCUCUUCACUCCAAGGAAUCCUCUGAAUCCUUGAGGGACAGCUUGGACUUCCUCUGAUCUUGGAAGUGAGGAGUUUGAUGCAUAA
rnacentral:lncRNA from 1 species